GCCCCAGUAGCUCAAAUGGACAGAGCAAAGCACUCCUAACGCUUAGGUUGUGGGUUCGAGUCCCCCCUGGGGCACUA
rnacentral:tRNA from 1 species